AUUGAACGCUGGCGGCAGGCCUAACACAUGCAAGUCGAGCGGAUGAAGGGAGCUUGCUCCUGGAUUCAGCGGCGGACGGGUGAGUAAUGCCUAGGAAUCUGCCUGGUAGUGGGGGAUAACGUCCGGAAACGGGCGCUAAUACCGCAUACGUCCUAAGGGAGAAAGUGGGGAUCUUCGGACCUCACGCUAUCAGAUGAGCCUAGGUCGGAUUAGCUAGUUGGUGGGGUAAAGGCCUACCAAGGCGACGAUCCGUAACUGGUCUGAGAGGAUGAUCAGUCACACUGGAACUGAGACACGGUCCAGACUCCUACGGGAGGCAGCAGUGGGGAAUAUUGGACAAUGGGCGAAAGCCUGAUCCAGCCAUGCCGCGUGUGUGAAGAAGGUCUUCGGAUUGUAAAGCACUUUAAGUUGGGAGGAAGGGCAGUAAGUUAAUACCUUGCUGUUUUGACGUUACCAACAGAAUAAGCACCGGCUAACUUCGUG
rnacentral:rRNA from 1 species